GGGUGUCGCUAACUUCUAACUUUUACUAUUGAUGAUAGAUGGGGAUGAAUAUUGUAUUUUGAAUUAAACUGCAAACAAAUCGUAAAUCCUCAAUUAAAGUUUCAAUAAGGUUAUUUCAUCAGCGGUGUAGUUAAAAGUAUGGAAUGGGAUUGACUCCAGUUACUUGUGUCGGAAAGACUGAGGGAUCCAUGCCAACUCCAGGAUCAAGUCCAUGUUUUACACAUUUCUGAUUAAUUAACAGUCCAGAGGCAGGUGUGAUUAAUCUUUAUCCGCCUUCAAUUAGUCUCCUUUAAAAAUUCCUCUGGCAGCAGUAUUGCGUCUUUGUCCUUAAAUACCGGCUUUGCAGCAAGAGGGAAAAUAUUCCCGGGAUGUUUCACUUCAUUUGGGAAACAGAAUAUCGGACACGGUUUCUACCUAUUUAGAUAGGAACAGUUCGAAACGAGAAAAGGCAUCAGAGCUUCAGAAUAGUUAAGAAGACGGCCAGUAACUGUAUUUUAGAAAAGGCCUUCUGUCUUGUAAAGAAAAGUUGAAUUCAAACUAAACCAGUAACUUUCUUUUUUUUUUUUGUAACAGGCGAAAUGGAACGGAUCAAUGUUGCUGCUAUUUAAAAUGGCUACCUGUAUCUUUAGUGCUUGCUCAGGUCUGUUAGUGGCGUUCCAGCAGGUGUCUUAUUCCCUUGUUCCUCCUCUCCAGCUCCCCGGCCUUCCUGUCCUCUACAACAGCCUGGACGCCGAAGCGCAGAGCUCCCGUGUGGUGUGAAACUGGACAGAUGAGCGGUCAGUUCGAAGCAGCAGCAGUUGCUCCCACAGAGCAACCGGACUCACCUCGCGGUCCCAGGUGCCCACCGUCUCUUCGGCCGGCUGUCCUGACUGGAGCGUUUCCUUCCCGGGGCUCCAGAUUGCGGACCGCCGGAGCGUCUGGAUAAUAGCCGCCGGGUUACGCCUGUACCGUUUCGUUUUGUAAUAAACUAGUGUUCUUGGAUUGUUUCUUAAACUAAAUUGUUUAGGUAUCUUGGUGGGGUCACUUUAUGUAGGAAGAGUGCAUCUAACAGGCGAUCAUCCUCCUGUUUCUUUAUUGAGCCUACAUGUGUUUCCUGUGCAGGUGCCGGCUGCUCAGACUGGCUGUCAAUCAUAAAUUUACUGUAG